ACUAACUGAGGAGUCCCAAAUAGGACGAAACGCGCAUCCUGGAU
rnacentral:hammerhead_ribozyme from 1 species